rnacentral:lncRNA from 1 species
UAUAUAUAUAUAUAUAUAUAUAUAUAUAUAUAUAUAUAUUUAAAUUUUAAAAAUCAGGAAUGGAAGAAUGGACAUCUCAUGUAUGAGUGAACAUUAAGAUCCUGUACCUACAAAUUUGAUAGUCUGGAUGAAAUGGGCCAAUUUCUUGAAAGACACAACCUAACAAAACUCACAACAAGAAUUUUGGAUUUUAUUUUAUUUUUUUAAACAUUUUUUUAGUUGUAGUUGGACACAAUAUCUUUAUUUAUUUUUAUGUGGUGCUGAGGAUCAAACCCAGUGCCUCACACAUGUUAGGCAGGUCCUCUGCCAAUGAGCUAGCCCUAGCCCAAUUUUGAUUUUAAAUGUGUCUGAUCAAGAGAGUUCACCCAUGAAUGGAUACGAAUUGAAUGAGAAAGAAUUAAUUGAUUUGGAGGCAUUCUCUUGAAAUAUGAGAUUUAAUAUCUUGGAAAAGAUCCCAAGAGAAGAUCAAACUCAUGACUAAUGUGUUUUGGAAGCCUGUAGAAACAAUCACUAAUUUUCAGAUCCAGACCCCAUUGACUGAAAAGGCGGGUGAGUCCCUAGAAGGAAGGGUCUUGUGUAAUGCCACAGGUCUAUACCGUCAUGACUGUCCCAGUUCUUCUCAAAGUGACAUGUGACCAUUUUCUUUGGAGUCCAUAAACUGGGGAAAGGGCUAUUUGACACAAGAUAUCAGUUGAUCUUAAUACUUCACAUCCAAAAUAUUGUUGUAGUCUUUCUGUUAGAGUAGAGACUUGUGAGAUCCAGGUAAUAAAUGAAGUUCUGGCUUUAGUAAAUGAAGUCCAGUUUACAAUGGAUCUGUUGGGACUGGAGACCCAGCCAAAGCUCAUUUCUGCAGUUACUGAGUGUAUCGUUGCAAUUGGUUGACUUCAUUGUUGGAGUAAUGAUUACACCAGGUUCUUGGUGUGUGGAAUAAGAGCCUGUUAUGGUUUGGAUAUGAGGUGUCUUCUAAAAGCUCACAUGUGAGACGAUGCAGGAAGGUUCAGAGAGAAAUGAUUCAGAAGGUUCAGAGAGUCUUAACCUGAUCAGUGAAUGACUCCCUGAUAGGAUUAACUGGGUGGUAACUAGAGGCAGGUGGGGUGUGGCUGGAGGAAGUGCUUAGUGGCUAUGGGGCGUGGCUACGGGUAUAUAUUUUGUAUCUGGUGCUGGAAUCUCUCUCUGCUUUCUGAUGUGAGCUGCAUCCCUCUGCCCACACUCUCCCAACAUGAUGUUCAGCCUCACCUUGAGCUCCGAGGAAUGGAGCCCGCCCUUCUAUGGACUAAGACCUCUGAAACCAUGAAAUAAACUUUUCCUCCCUUACAGUUGUGCUGGUCAGAUCCUUUAGUCACAGCAGCGAAAAAGCUGACUAAAACAGAGCCCCUAGUGGAAAAGGCUGAAUGGAAACCUCCGAAACUGAAAACUCACACACACACACAC